rnacentral:rRNA from 1 species
GAUGAACGCUGGCGGCGUGCCUAAUACAUGCAAGUCGAGCGAACAGACGAGGAGCUUGCUCCUCUGACGUUAGCGGCGGACGGGUGAGUAACACGUGGAUAACCUACCUAUAAGACUGGGAUAACUUCGGGAAACCGGAGCUAAUACCGGAUAAUAUAUUGAACCGCAUGGUUCAAUAGUGAAAGACGGUUUUGCUGUCACUUAUAGAUGGAUCCGCGCCGCAUUAGCUAGUUGGUAAGGUAACGGCUUACCAAGGCAACGAUGCGUAGCCGACCUGAGAGGGUGAUCGGCCACACUGGAACGUGGACACGGUCCAGACUCCUACGGGAGGCAGCAGUAGGGAAUCUUCCGCAAUGGGCGAAAGCCUGACGGAGCAACGCCGCGUGAGUGAUGAAGGUCUUCGGAUCGUAAAACUCUGUUAUUAGGGAAGAACAAAUGUGUAAGUAACUAUGCACGUCUUGACGGUACCUAAUCAGAAAGCCACGGCUAACUACGUG